UUUUAUGCCUUCAGCAUCUCCAUUUGCUCCUUCAUGUAAUGCAGGAACCCAUUCCAGAUGCCUCCAGGCCGAGCAGAAUGCUGGAGACUGCCUUUCACUGGCUCUGUCGCAAAGGGCAAUUGUUUAUUACUGCAGUAAAGCAGGAGGUUUGACUUUGUUUGACUUGGUGUAUACCUCACUGCAAGGCCCUACCCCAGAAGAGCUGCAAAAGCAAUCUUCUUUCUUUGGCACCAUUGGCACCUCACCCCAGCCCUGACAGAGGGUUACAGACGCUCAAUCACAGGAAACAGUCAUGGCAACACAAGAGACAGAGAAAAUUAACAAGGCACAGCAAAGCAGAAAGAAAUCUGUACAAGCACAGAACCCAAAAACUGGGAAAAGGACCCAUAAUCUACAUGGAUAGGAUAUAUGGACUUCAGCUCCCCCAUCAGUGCAUCACUCAGGUUAUUCAUGCAUCACCUGGUGCCAUUCUGCAAGAGCAGUUUGAUUUGAUGACCCCAGAACAUGGAUUCAGCAGCCCCUGUGGACUCCGAGGAAGCAGACAAGCAGCCGCUGCCUGGAGUGCAUAUGAGGAGGAGAGAGCUGCUGCCCCUGGCUUGCUUAGGAAUCAAGCGGAGGAAAGAAUUCACGGUGGGCUGCUCUGUGGGAGGAGGAAUGAAUGUCCUUCCCUCUGGGAUAACAGGAUUAAUGCCAAUCCCACACAUUUGUGUGUGUUCUGGGGUGGACCUACCCCUUACCAUCAGAUGGCAUGGAGUGGCAUUUGCACUGUGUAAUGUUGUGACCCACUCUACUUCCCUGAAUGUGGGCUUGAAAAUGUAUAUUUAUGUAUAUGUGCCUAUAUGUGUACACAAAUCACACAGACAAAUGUCCUUACACUAUUGUAAUUAAUUAUUGUUGUGUGUCUGUUAUCUUCCUUCUUUUUUUUCUUUUUGGAAACCUCAGCUAAUUUGAAACAAUAUCCAAGUAUUUAUGUUAUAGGUAGGUCUUUCCAAAUUCACAGCUUCAAGAACAUUUAUGCCAUGGUUCUUGGUUCUGAUCCACUUUUUAAAUACAAUUUUUUUCCUGAAAAUGAUAAAUACAUAUAUUUAUACACACAUACAGCCUGGACAGCAAAGUAAGCCCUGACCCUGAGUAAUUUCUUUGACAUUUAGAUUUGAAAAACCAUCUUUGGCAAUCAUCAAUGACCAUGUGGUAGUCAGGGCUAUGUCCAAACCACCUGAGUUUGGACUGCCCUUUUUGCAUUCACACUUUGGUUGUUAAUUCACUCCAGAUGCCAACACUUCUCAUCUGGAAGGAUCUAAUGCACCUUGUCUGCAUGCAAGUCCCUCACAAAAGAAAACCCAUGCAGGUUCCCCCUAGGUGAUCUUUAAAGGUGAGUUAUGAAAGAUGACUGAAACAAUAUUUGAAACA